rnacentral:rRNA from 1 species
UGGGGAAUUUUGGACAAUUGGGCGAAAGCCUGAUCCAGCAAUGCCGCGUGUGUGAAGAAGGCCUUCGGGUUGUAAAGCACUUUUGUCCGGAAAGAAAUCCUUGGCUCUAAUACAGUCGGGGGAUACGGUACCGGAAGAAUAAGCACCGGCUAACUACGUGCCAGCAGCCGCGGUAAUACGUAGGGUGCAAGCGUUAAUCGGAAUUACUGGGCGUAAAGCGUGCGCAGGCGGUUUGCUAAGACCGAUGUGAAAUCCCCGGGCUCAACCUGGGAACUGAUUGGUGACUGGCAGGCUAGAGUAUGGCAGAGGGGGGUUAGAAUUCCACGUGUAGCAGUGAAAUGCGUAGAGAUGUGGAGGAAUACCGAUGGCGAAGGCAGCCCCCUGGGCCAAGUACUGACGCUCAUGCACG